rnacentral:rRNA from 1 species
GUGGGGAAUCUUAGACAAUGGGGGAAACCCUGAUCUAGCCAUGCCGCGUGAUCGAUGAAGGCCUUAGGGUUGUAAAGAUCUUUCAGGUGGGAAGAUAAUGACUGUACCACCAGAAGAAGCCCCGGCUAACUCCGUGCCAGCAGCCGCGGUAAUACGGAGGGGGCUAGCGUUGUUCGGAAUUACUGGGCGUAAAGCGCACGUAGGCGGAUUGGAAAGUUGGGGGUGAAAUCCCGGGGCUCAACCCCGGAACUGCCUUCAAAACUCCCAGUCUUGAGUUCGAGCGAGGUGAGUGGAAUUCCGAGUGUAGAGGUGAAAUUCGUAGAUAUUCGGAGGAACACCAGUGGCGAAGGCGGCUCACUGGCUCGAUACUGACGCUGAGGUGCGAAAGCGUGGGGAGCAAACAGGAUUAGAAACCCCGGUAGUCC